rnacentral:rRNA from 1 species
GGGCCCGCACAAGCGGUGGAGUAUGUGGUUUAAUUCGACGCAACGCGAAGAACCUUACCAGCUCUUGACAUGUGAAGUAUGGGUCUGAGAGAUCAGAUCCUUCGGUUCGGCCGGCUUCAACACAGGUGCUGCAUGGCUGUCGUCAGCUCGUGUCGUGAGAUGUUGGGUUAAGUCCCGCAACGAGCGCAACCCUCAUCUUCAGUUGCUACCAGGUAAGGCUGGGCACUCUGAAGAAACCGCCGGUGAUAAGCCGGAGGAAGGCGGGGAUGACGUCAAGUCCUCAUGGCCCUUACGGGCUGGGCUACACACGUACUACAAUGGUGGUGACAGUGGGCAGCGAAGGCGCGAGCCGGAGCCAAUCCCCAAAAACCAUCUCAGUUCAGAUUGCACUCUGCAACUCGAGUGCAUGAAGUUGGAAUCGCUAGUAAUCGCGGAUCAGCACGCCGCGGUGAAUACGUUCCCGGGCCUU